rnacentral:rRNA from 1 species
GUAGGUGGCAAGCGUUAUCCGGAAUUAUUGGGCGUAAAGCGCGCGCAGGCGGUUUCUUAAGUCUGAUGUGAAACGCCCACGGCUCAACCGUGGAGGGUCAUUGGAAACUGGGGAACUUGAGUGCAGAAGAGAAAAGCGGAAUUCCACGUGUAGCGGUGAAAUGCGUAGAGAUGUGGAGGAACACCAGUGGCGAAGGCGGCUUUUUUAGGUCUGUAACUGACGCUGAGGCGCGAAAGCGUGGGGAGCAAACAGGGAUUAGAUACCCUGGUAGUCCACGCCGUAAACGAUGAGUGCUAAGUGUUAGAGGGUUUUCCGCCCCUUUAGUGCUGCAGCUAACGCAUUAACGCACUCCGCCCUGGGAGUACGGUCGCAAGACUG